CAACGAAAAUAAAAAAGUAAUGGGGUUAGGGUAACCUGUGCAACCUGUUGGCCUCAACUACAUGAAAGUAGCACAAUGCAUAGUAAGAAAUACAAAUUAUGUACAUAGGCAAGUACGGAAAACAUUGGCAGGCUCGCAGGCAAUGAUGCUGACUUUUGGUAUUGGAAAGAUUCCGAUUCAUUUCUACAAACGAAUGAUUUCUUGUGUCACAUUUGUUAUUUCCCAUCUGUAUUUCUCUUUGUGUAGAAGAAUUGCAAAGUUACAUUAAAGAAAGUGGAGGGGAAAUUGUUACAGGGAGAGUUUUGAAGCAUGUUAUGACAACAUUGUCUCCAACAGACUUUAAUAUAACAGUAAACGAUCCCGAUCAUGAUUUUUUUCGUGGCAACACUGUCUCUUUGUGUGAUACUGCAGUCGAAGUCCUCGCGUUCCUGAGGCUCUGAAAGUGAAAGCGUCGCUCCUGCAGUACUGCUGAUGUCGGUCAAGUUGAAUUCAACAUGGUGAAACCUAAUGAAAAGGGAAAGAACGCAUUGCAUUUACGAGAGAUAGAAACAGUUGUUACGAAAAGCCGGUUGUUGGAAGGAACGAGAAGCAAUUCUUUCCAACCUGUUCCAGAUGUUUUGUCUUUGAAGUCGUCAUCCCUAACUGAACGCGAAGAAGAACUUUCAAGGGGUUUUCUUAAGUAUAAAAAAGGUAUAUCAUUCUUAAAUGAUGCCCACCUGCAAGUCUAAUGAGAAAUGUUGUGUGUUGUUAUUCUUCUCAUGUUAUUCUUCUCACUGAAUAACCAAGUCCUGAAUAAAACACGAGACUGCUAUUAGUA
rnacentral:lncRNA from 1 species